ensembl:snoRNA
GCCCCUUGUGUGUGUUUUUAUUCAACUGGAUAAAGACUUAAAAGACAGGUGCAAUAAUUAAUCCUCUUUAGUAACCCAGACCCAGAACUAGUUGUUCAGUAUAAGUUUUGAAACAUACAAGAAGGAAUAUG